GAUGAACGCUGGCGGCGUGCCUAAUACAUGCAAGUCGAGCGAGCAGACGAGGAGCUUGCUCCUCUGACGUUAGCGGCGGACGGGUGAGUAACACGUGGAUAACCUACCUAUAAGACUGGGAUAACUUCGGGAAACCGGAGCUAAUACCGGAUAAUAUAUUGAACCGCAUGGUUCAAUAGUGAAAGACGGUUUUGCUGUCACUUAUAGAUGGAUCCGCACCGCAUUAGCUAGUUGGUAAGGUAACGGCUUACCAAGGCAACGAUGCGUAGCCGACCUGAGAGGGUGAUCGGCCACACUGGAACUGAGACACGGUCCAGACUCCUACGGGAGGCAGCAGUAGGGAAUCUUCCGCAAUGGGCGAAAGCUUGACGGAGCAACGCCGCGUGAGUGAUGAAGGUCUUCGGAUCGUAAAACUCUGUUAUUAGGGAAGAACAAAUGUGUAAGUAACUAUGCACGUCUUGACGGUACCUAAUCAGAAAGCCACGGCUAACUACGUG
rnacentral:rRNA from 1 species